GUCGGGUGCAGUGGUGCAUGCCUAUAGUUCCAGCUACUUGGGAGGCUCAAGUGGGAGGAUUGCUUGAGCCCAGGAGUUCUGGGCUGUAGUGCGCCAUGCCAAUCAAGUGUCUGCACUAAGUUCGGCAUCAAUAUGGUGACCUCCCAGGAUGGGGAUCACCAGGUUGCCUAAGGAGGGGUGAACUGGCCCAGGUCGGAAGCGGAGCUGAUCAAAAUUCCUGUGCUGAUCAGUAGUGGGAUCACACCUAUGAAUAUUUACUGCACUCCAGCCUGGGCAACACAGUGAGACCCCAUCUCU
ensembl:misc_RNA Metazoa_SRP Metazoan signal recognition particle RNA